CCUCAGCCGAGCCAUUCUCAGAAGCGUCUGGUCUGCCUAGACAGCCGCCGGCUUCAGGCCUCUGCCGUAGGGCAGAGUCAGAGAGCCUGGCUCAGGCCAUGCUUCCAGGAAAGUCAGCGUCGCCACGUGGAGAUGGUGGCGAACCAGAACCCCAGAGCGUUUAAGGAGCACGCCGCUGCGGCCGCGGGCAGAGAUCCACCCAGGCCGCUGUCCAAGUUCACUCUGCUGGGUAGAAGAGGAGUUGAUUUAUGUCUCCAGCAGGACCCAGAGUCUAGCUGAGAUGACACACGUGUGUGUGGAGACAGGUGCUGCUCCCACUGUGUGCUCCCAGCUCCCUCUCGGGGUCUGGUUCCCGGAGAACCCACCGAGGGCCCCCACAGUCUGCCGCCCAAGCUUCUGCUCCUUCUGACAGGUUAGCCUCGCUCUCGUUCACCCCCGAGUAGUGCUUCUGCAGCCCAGAGAGUGACUUCCCACUGGCAGCUGCGGCUCACCCCUUCCAGGGAAGAGCUACUAAAGGCUGGAGGGCUGGAGCUUCCUGGAACAACCCAGCAUCCUUGACUACCAGGUGCUCAGUGCCCAAAGGCAGUGGCUCACGUUCAACCACACUGUGAAGUUUAAACCCAAGUAACCGGUCACCCUCACUGUCUGUCUCCUGUUCCCGGUGCCAAUUCCAGCCCUUCCGCUGCCAUCACACAGGACGGAGAUACUGAGUGUGAUUACGUAUAUAUUGUGCCUAGUGGGCACACUUUUUGGUUCCUAUGUUCAACUCAAAAAGCAGACGAGCACACGCAAAAAGAGAAAUAUGGGCAAUGUAUAUAUGUAAGUAUGUAAAUCAAAAUAUGAAUUCAUCCUAUGAGAUGAGCAUCACCCCAAUACCCAGACUAGACAACAAUAUUAUAGAAAGAAACUGCAGAAUAGUAUCUCUCGCAAACAUAGAUGGAAAAAUCCUCAACAGAAUAUUAGCAAAUUGAAUCCAACAAUAUGUAAAAAGAAUUAUACACCAUGACAAACUGGGAUUUAUCCCAGGGAUG